rnacentral:rRNA from 1 species
UACGUAGGGUGCAAGCGUUGUCCGGAAUUAUUGGGCGUAAAGAGCUCGUAGGCGGUCUGUCGCGUCGGCUGUGAAAACUCGGGGCUCAACUCCGAGCUUGCAGUCGAUACGGGCAGGCUAGAGUUCGGCAGGGGAGACUGGAAUCCCUGGUGUAGCGGUGAAAUGCGCAGAUAUCAGGAGGAACACCGGUGGCGAAGGCGGUUCUCUGGGCCUGUACUGACGCUGAGGAGCGAAAGCGUGGGGAGCAAACAGG